AUGCUCGCUUCGGCAGCACAUAUACUAAAACUGAAACGAUACAGAGAUUAGUAUGGCCCCUGCACAAGGAUGACACGCAAAGUCAUGAAGCAUUCCAUAUUUUU